UUAUGUUACGACUUAUCUUAUUUUAAUAAUAAGAGCGACGGGCGAUGUGUACAUAUUUUAGAGCUAAAAUCAAAUUUUUAAUCUUUAAAAUUUUACUAUCAAAUCCACUUUUAAAAAACAUAUUUAAUAUUUAUAUUCAUAUAAAUAAUUUUAUUGUAACCCAUCUCUACUUAAAUAUAAGCUACACCUUGAUCUGAUAUAAAUUAUAAUAAAAAUAAUUGAAAAUUAUUAUUCUAAUAAAAUAUUCUAAUAACGACGGUAUAUAAACUGAAAAACAAAAUUAAGUUAGGUACAUCGUGGAUUAUCGAUUAUAGGACAGGUUCCUCUGAAUAGACUAAAAUACCGCCAAAUUUUUUAAGUUUCAAGAACAUAACUAUUACUACCUUAAUGUUAACAUUUAAAUUUAAAAUAAUAGGGUAUCUAAUCCUAGUUUA
rnacentral:rRNA from 1 species